rnacentral:rRNA from 1 species
AGACCCGAAACCCGGUGAUCUAGCCAUGGGCAGGUUGAAGGUUGGGUAACACUAACUGGAGGACCGAACCGACUAAUGUUGAAAAAUUAGCGGAUGACCUGUGGCUGGGGGUGAAAGGCCAAUCAAACCGGGAGAUAGCUGGUUCUCCCCGAAAGCUAUUUAGGUAGCGCCUCGUGAAUUCAUCUCCGGGGGUAGAGCACUGUUUCGGCUAGGGGGCCAUCCCGGCUUACCAACCCGAUGCAAACUGCGAAUACCGGAGAAUGUUAUCACGGGAGACACACGGCGGGUGCUAACGUCCGUCGUGAAGAGGGAAACAACCCAGACCGCCAGCUAAGGUCCCAAAGUCAUGGUUAAGUGGGAAACGAUGUGGGAAGGCCCAGACAGCCAGGAUGUUGGCUUAGAAGCAGCCAUCAUUUAAAGAAAGCGUAAUAGCUCACUGGUCGAGUCGGCCUGCGCGGAAGAUGUAACGGGGCUAAACCAUGCACCGAAGCUGCGGCAGCGAACGUAUCACUUAAAGCGAUUCAGCGGGUUACGAUUGACGGAGCGAAGCGACGUCAAAGCGUAUACAAAGUCGAGUCGGUUUAAGGAUACGUUCGUUGGGUAGGGGAGCGUUCUGUAAGCCUGCGAAGGUGGCCUGUGAGGGUUGCUGGAGGUAUCAGAAGUGCGAAUGCUGACAUAAGUAACGAUAAAGCGGGUGAAAAGCCCGCUCGCCGGAAGACCAAGGGUUCCUGUCCAACGUUAAUCGGGGCAGGGUGAGUCGACCCCUAAGGCGAGGCCGAAAGGCGUAGUCGAUGGGAAACGGGUUAAUAUUCCCGUACUUGGUGUUACUGCGAAGGGGGGACGGAGAAGGCUAUGUUGGCCGGGCGACGGUUGUCCCGGUUUAAGCGUGUAGGUGUGUGUUCCAGGUAAAUCCGGUUCACUUUAACACUGAGGCGUGACGACGAGGCACUACGGUGCUGAAGCAACAAAUGCCCUGCUUCCAGGAAAAGCCUCUAAGCAUCAGGUAACAUCAAAUCGUACCCCAAACCGACACAGGUGGUCAGGUAGAGAAUACCAAGGCGCUUGAGAGAACUCGGGUGAAGGAACUAGGCAAAAUGGUGCCGUAACUUCGGGAG